CCCGCCCCGGCAACAGGGCACCCUGACCACCCCCCCCGCAACAGGGCACCCUGACCACCCCCCCCGCCCCGCCCGGCCCUGCGACCGGACACUUGCCCUUCUCCUGGGCUCACGCAGAGCGAAGGACCUGGUGUUCGCAGUCUGCCUGAAGAAAUGGUGCGGCCUUGCUCGAGAACAAGCCCCUCGCGGAAGAAAAAACAGCUGCCCAGCAAUACAGGUAUACAGUGAGAGUGCACUACUGGGAGAGGGAAGGAAUCGAAGAAGAGCCCAGAGAGAUCCCCUUGGUAAAUCAUUGCUCAGUUUUCUAGCAUACCUUUCAUAUGUACAUUCUUACUCCUCCUCUCCUCUUCAUUCAGCUCCUUCAGGGCACAGUAAGUAGGGUUAAAUGUAAGCAACCUUGGAGAUUUUGGUUUGCAGAAGGGCUGGCACAGCUUCAGGAGGGCAGCUCCCAAAUUCAGGAAGAAGGCAUCUGAGGCAUACAUCUGGAAGAAGAUCUCUGGCAUCUGAUUAGCCCAAAUUUUGGUACGACCUGCGUUAGCAUGGAGACAGUUUCCCAGCCAGGACAGAAUCCUGUGUUUGGUCUCAGGAGACAACUGCAACAGGUUCUUCAGCAGCUGGUAGAUCUUCUCAUGGAACUGGGCCAUAAACUGUUAGAGGGAACAGAAGGUGGUUGAAGGAGUCAUUAUUGAAAGUGGCUCAUUUUCCAUGUUCUGUCAUUUAGGACAGUAGUGCUUUCAAAGUUGGCCUGGGUCCAGACUGCAUCCUACUCUUAAAGGGCAAGAUUUUCAAAGCAAACUAUGGCCAGGACAGCACUAGCAGUCACCUGUCAGGCAGGUGUGAUGAAUGGGUCAAAUCCUGAGGCCAGCAAAGAAUAAUUAGGGACAUACUCAAAAGCAUAGUCAAGAAAGAGCAAGCUGUUUCCAUGGGGAAUAGAACCAAAAUUCUUUACACAUUUUUGGCAUAAAGAAUGACCCCGGAAGAAUGCAUGACUAGGAACCCAAUUCUCUAUGACUAACUUCUGCACACGAGUUUAUUUCCCUGGAGAAUGAGGAUUAUAUUUAUUUCCUAUUUUGUGAUGCUUCACUCCUUAACUUCUGAAAUAUUCUUUAAGAUCCUCCUAACACCAUCCACCUAAGGAGGGAAGCUGUUUACUGUCAUAAUUAGAGAGAAUAUUGCCUGUCACCUUUUCUGCUUGCAAGGUAACAGGACAGUUACUGAAAACUAUUGCACAGUGAUUUCAACAUCUUCAUGUACCAUCCUCUUAAGUUAUGGUGCUGGUAUAUGUUCUACAAGUACCCAGUUCUUUUUAUAAAGCUCAGAAAGCUACUACAGUAAAAUAUAUGUUGCUCUUAAGCAGCACAAAACACUUGAUCAAUACAAAGAGUUUAGCUCACAACAUCCUGAUGAAGCAGGCAACACUAUUCUUAUUUUAGAGAUGGAGAAUCCACAGCUCAGAGCAGUUCUGUAACUUGCUUAGCCGCAAUCCAAACUUUAAAGAGCCAGUGGUUAGAACACAUCUCCUGAAAUCAAGUCUCCUAACUUUAACCCUCAAGUGAAAAGAGAUCAAUAAAAUACAUUAGGAAGCACUAUUGGCACCCACCUGAUGGAUGUUGGACUCCUGAACUUUGAUCUCUUGUGGACUGGAUCGGGAUGGAUUCAAAAAAUAGCCAUGAUUCUCUACUACACCAGGAGUCUUUAACAAGCAGGAGAUAUUUAAAAUGGCACCUAACAAAGUCUUCUGGUACAUCUGUCCAUUAUUAGGAUCCUUGGGCUGAAUAUAAUCUGCAAAAACCUAUGGAACACAGAUGAUGGACAUGCUGACGUUUAUAUCAAAAUCUCAAAAAAAGACCUUAUGGCUUUGGAUCAGGUUAUCAUAAACUAUCAUAAACAAUACUAAGACAAUACUAUUGCAACUGCUUGGGCCCCUUCAUGAUAAAAUAGACCAAAAAGUAACAGUUCCCUAUAGUGCUAAGAAACAUACCUUUGCUAUAUCUUUCUGCUUUGUGAAAUAGAGGAGCAUAUCCAGGUAAGUGUACAGCAGGAUCUGGCAAAGGUCCAGGUCUUUGAUUCUACCCAAUAAAAUAUCAAACACUGGAAUCAUGACUUCCCCAAAUGUCCGUACUUCCUCAUCCACUGUUAAGGCUUCUAUGACCUCCUCCAGGAACUCAGUCAUGUCUUCAAAAUCUAGCAAGAGAAGCAAGACUAUUACUUAGAGUACCCAAUAGAGCCAAACUUCAGUGUGUAUAUACUGCUACCUAAAUAUAGCUCUCCCCCCCCCUUUUUUUUUUCCAAACAAUGAAAAAAGCCAGAUCUUCACCCAAGUCCACAUUUUUCCUGCAAGCUUUAACAAGCUCAAGAUCUUAUCUGCUAUGUUUAUGAAGACAAGAACUGAUAUAUCUUAUCUACUGUGGGCCUAAAUAUUUCUAGAGUAGCUCUGCAAACACCAAGCUUCUGUUAUUCUUUAGUCACAUUUUCCUCAAUGGAGACAGGUGAUCUCACUGUCAUCCAGACUGAGAAUUUUAAACCUUAAAAGGGCUUAACGCAUUAGUUACAGAAAAACGCAACUGGAACAACAAAAUAAACUCACAACAUUAGUGGUCACCUUCGUAAGCUAUCAACUAUCACUAAGGAAUCUAUCAACUUAAUUCAGUCAAACUUACGUGCGCCUCUCAAUGCUUCCAGCAUCAAGUCCACCAGCUGUUCGUACACGUUCUGGUUGACGUAAAUCUCUGGGGUAAGAAGAACAGUGCGAGUGUUCGACACAGUCAGAUUUCGGCACCGCACCGCAAAGGGCAGCAAGUUCUCUGGAACCUUGGUUAUCUGCACAGAAAGAACAAGACACAUUUGUCUCUUGAUGUGGCAACUGCUUAUAUCCACUUCUUGCCAUUAUUUGCCAACUUUGUCACCUCAGACUCCAAAGCAAACUGUAUAACAGUUACCUUCUUUUUCAUGAAUUUCUGCCUACCUCUUCUCUUGCUCUCUGGAAGCAGGCAUAGAGGUAGCGUAGAAUCUGUUUCUCUCCUGCAUCCCUAUCUGCAGAGAGGUUCUGUGUGCUAACAGAUGUCAUGUAAAUCAGGUGAUUUCCAGGCUCCUGUAGCAGCAAGCGAGUAAACAGUGCCUAGACACAGGCAAAAAUACACUGAGAAUAGAACAGUCCCAGUAGAUAAGAAAUUGCUUAAGAAAAGAGAAGCCCCUAUCAUCACAGGCUAAAUUGUUUCUGCCCAGGAUAGCUCUUCAUCCCUUAGUAAGCAACUUAAGAGGGCUAAACAAAGAAUCCUCACACUUACUCAUUUGCUGAACUAACAAUUUCUCCCAUUGCCUUUAAGAGUGACAGCAGUUCUACUGAUUGGAAGUUAUUUUCACCAAAUAAUCAUCAGGAACUGCUCUGACAUCUCUGCACAGGUGAAACUGAAUGCACGCAUGAACACUGAUCAUAAAGUUCUGCGUAGCAGCAUAACAGACGGCACACUGCUCCAGUAUCACUAACAGGAAUGUUUGCCUCCCACAACGGCACACAAUUGUGCUCUCCUGCCCCAUCCAGGUUAAGAGAUUUUCUUCCCCCUCCCCCAAGCCCCCCCACUCCCCUCCAGGAGCAGGAUACAUUUCUGCAGUCACCAGAAGGGGACAGAAUAAGCUAAUUCUAAACCUUUCUAAAUAUCUUAUUCCCAAAAGCCUGUGGCCAUUUCUAGCAAAGCUGCAACUCACUGCUCUGUACUGCACUAUUCAAGAUACAUUAUGCAUGUUUUGCAAGGAAAAAGAAGUCGUAACUACUGUUGCCAGAGGAACCUGACCACCUGAAAACCUUAUUCUUUCACUUUGCUCAAACUGAGAUGUUUCUUAUCAGGGCCCAGUAACUGCAGUUACUGCCUGAUAAAAAAACAAACAGGCACAGAAUUUUGCUGUUCUCAUCUGACAGAAGUCACCAUUCUGCUGCACGUAGGCAGCCUGCAGCUCUCUACAAUGCUGCUCCAAAACAGAUUAUCGAGAGGCAACCAACUGUUAGUAUAACUAAACAAAGAGCUGAGCAAGCUGGUUUUUUUAAAAACAUAGCAUGCAUGAGUGAAGCUCUCCUUGCCUGUCAUUAAUGCUUUAUGACAAUCGCUGUCUUAAAUAGAGGAUAUUAAAUUCCCUAUUUAGAAUUAGGAUUUUGAAAAGAUUCUGCCAGCAAGCAUUAGCGUAUCAUUCAUAGCAUCUACCUUAGCUCUGUUUCGACAGUUAAUCAAUUUAAAGAGAAAGCCAACAUGCAAGAGUACCUGUUCAACGUUUUCCAUGUCGAGCCAGUCCUGGUCAUCGAGAUCUGCAGCCAUUUCUUCCAAAUACACACAACGAGCUGGAAUUCCAUUUCCACUCUUCAUACUGGGAUCACCUGGGAAAAAGUACAGUCAAACUUACUUUACUCAAACUAACACAGAACACACCUACAGACAGUGAAACAGAUACCCAGGAUACUGCCUGUUACAGAGAAGUGCCUGCUACAAGAACCUAUAGUAAAGCAUUUGCUCCCUCCCAGCUUUCCAGUCCCGUUUCAGAUAGGCCUGACAAACUUCUCAGAUGCUUUUUGCACUGUUGCUUAAAACAGGUUUCACUCUGGAAUCUAACAUGACAAUUUUCUUACAACAAACACGUGCUAUGCAAUAUUACAGCCUAUACUGACAGUCUGUUUUCAGGGAAAAAAACCCAUAUAUUUGGAUGUAAGCAAGACCCCAGCCUCUAAGGUAAGCUUUUAUAGUUCAUGUCCUUAUCCUGAAGGGCCUUAUUUGGCAAGAAGAGCAUGAGCUCUUUGGCAUUCUGGGACCAGAGGUGCCAUCCAGGUGCUGUUUUAGAGCCUCUGGAUGACACUUCUGUUUGCCACAUGCAGCCAGAAGACAUUCAGAGGUGCCGAUUCUUGUGGGUUUUGUGUCCCAUUUAGGGGAUGGCAGCAGAAAUGAUCAUCUUUAGCAGUUAUGCAGUAUUAUUCUGAUUCUUAUUAAUGAACUUUGGACCAAUCACUACAGGUGAAAGGCAACCACAUGAGCUCCCAUAAUGGCCUUAGAAAAAUAAGAUAUGCAUCUAUAGAAAUGAAACAGCUGCAUGGUCCUAGGACACAGAUUCUCUCUACUUAACAUAUUUUACAAGCUUUUCCACCGCAAACAAGAAAACAUGUUAAAACACGUGAAAAACAAGAAGUGUUAGAUCUGCAAGGCAGGGGCUGUGCCUUCUGGUGCUUGCCCAAGUGGCAGCACACUGGUGCCAAGUUUUCUCAGGCACCCACGUGCCAUUACAAAGCAAACCGUAGUAAUAAUGGAAAAACAACACAGCACAUCCACAAAAGAGCACUGGAUUCUGCA